rnacentral:rRNA from 1 species
UGGUGGAGUGAUUUGUCUGGUUAAUUCCGUUAACGAACGAGACCUCGACCUGCUAAAUAGUUUGGCGAAUGCUCCGGCAUUUGUUUACGACUUCUUAGAGGGACUAUCGGUGAUUUAGCCGAUGGAAGUUCGAGGCAAUAACA